AUUUUAUUUAUUAAUCACGUUCACAAUUUAAUUUAAUGAUUGCUAAUAGUGAUUAUGGAUUAACUUUGAGGCUGACAAAAUUGGUGUAAACAUGUUCCACUCAUCAAGUUAAUCAUUUUAAUUUUGUGUAAUGAUACAUAACAAUGUUUCCUCUUGUGUAAUUUGUUAACACACAACAAUAACAAGGGGUUAAUCCUAAAUCCAACCAUCACCAAGAUUCAUCAGUUGAAUAUUAAUAUGGAAAACUUUUGACCUUAAUCACUAUUAAAUCAUUAAAGAUUAUUAUCAAGUAUUUUACUUUCAAUUAAGGCGCUCGUUUUUUGGUGAUGACACUAUUUAUGAUUAACUUUUACGAUAAUCGUGUUGAUCACGUUAAUUUAAUUAUUGUGAAACAAACCAAAUUAAUGGUAAGCCACAUUUAAGGACAAGCUGGAAAGGAAAAGUUCUAAAUUGUUGAAAAUCAAACCGAAUGAGGAUGAGAAGGUAAAGUUAACGAGACCGUGAAAAUGAUUGGACCAAUAUUGUAUCGUAACCAUCAAUAGCUAUUGAUUUUUCACCGAUCAACUGAAAUUGAUAAAUUGUCCUAAACCAGUAACCUUGAUGCAUCUUCAAGCAAAGUAAGCUUUGGUUCACAUGUUAACCGUGACAGAUUUUGGUCGAUGUAAUCAAUUAUUGUUAAUCGAUUAAUGAGUUCUCUAAUUGUUGUUUUUAACCAUAAUUCAAUUGAUUGAGAUUUCAGGAACUUGAUCUGAUCACAAGAUAACCAACUUCCUAUCAUCAUUAUCAUCAAUUUACAAAUCAUUCUAUGAUAUACACACACACGAUCGAUCAAGAUCCAAUCAAACUCGACCCUUAAAUUCAUCAACAAAACUGACCUGGAAAAAAAGAAAGCAAAGAGGAAUAACAAAAACUAACGUUAUUUUACUGGCAAUUGUGAUAGCGGUUCUGAUGGUUAAAUAAUGAUAGUAAGGAUUCACAGAUGUAAACAUACGUUGGACUCAUUCUUAAAUUGUGGUUCUGUCUCUGAUGUUGAUGGUUAAUAUGAUGAUUUAAACCUUUGCUGGUUUCACAUGAUUUUACCUCACCAUUACCUUGGAGGCUUUUGACUUCUAACGCUUCAAGAAUAAGCCCUUCCUUCAGUCAAAUAAUCAUGUUAAUUCAGGUUAAUUAAAAUUGACCAUCCUCUUUAUCUCUCUGUUUACAUCUUAUAUUAUGACCAUCUAAUGAUGAUUAGAUGGACGAUAAAGGUAAUGGCUAUUAAAAUUAACCUCACAAAUUAACAUUAAACAUGGUCUCCCCUAGCACAUCCCGAUUACACAUUUGUAUAAUGUUCACACUUAACCCCUUAACAGAUCAUCAAUAAAUGAAAAAUGAACAAAUAAAAACAAAUGAAUUGAAAAGCAAUGCAAAUAAAUUACCAUUAAAUGUAAAUCAUGAUCAAUUUAUAAGUAACCCAUUAAAACCACAAUCGUGUGGCCAAUCAUUUGAA